UACGUAGGGAGCGAGCGUUGUCCGGAUUUAUUGGGCGUAAAGAGCUUGUAGGCGGUUUGUCGCGUCUGCUGUGAAAAUCCGGGGCUCAACCCCGGACUUGCAGUGGGUACGGGCAGACUAGAGUGUGGUAGGGGAGACUGGAAUUCCUGGUGUAGCGGUGGAAUGCGCAGAUAUCAGGAGGAACACCGAUGGCGAAGGCAGGUCUCUGGGCCACUACUGACGCUGAGAAGCGAAAGCAUGGGGAGCGAACAGG
rnacentral:rRNA from 1 species